CUGCUGCCAUAUUCGGUUUCGCCGAGAAUCGUGAACACGUACGCCGGAAGCAAUGCGGGGUAAUUAUUUGAUUUAUUUCAUAAUAUUAUUUAACAUAUAUCGUGAAAAGUUCUGAAUAUUCGGAUUCUUCUGUUAUCGUUUCAUCGUGUGUUAGCAUUAUCAGCUCUCGGUAUCGAAUUGACAAACAGAAUUUUUCUCAUAGAAAUUCGAUAGUUUACAUUUCACGGGCCCCGUGUUGCACCCGCAUUGCUUUCGUUCCUGUUUCCAACGUAUAAGUGUAGCGUCAGUGAUUCGCGUGACGCGACGUAACCUUCAACGUUUGUUUUUCUCGGUUUAUGCGUUGUGUGUUCGUUUGAAUGAAAAUGUCGCGAGUGUUGUAACAAAAACCACGGAAAACAGAAGAAGAAUACGGGAGCAAAAGGAAUUCCAGGCUACAGCAGAAUGCCCAUUACCCAACAGGGUUUCGUUCCAUGGUAUUUCAACGAGGCGAAUAAAGAGAAAUAGGAUAAUCGAGACUGGUGAAAAAGGAUCAACCUUUUCAGCAAUGGCAAGGCACAUCCCGCAUCUGAUACAAGCGGAAGAGAAAUCAAUUCCUAUCAUGUCACAUGGUGAACAAGAACGCAAAUACGGAAUCUUUUGUAUAAUACUACUCCAAAUUCUGUUGAGUCGCAGUAAUAAUAAUAAUCGGGUGUUGACUUCUGCUCGUUUUUACUUGAAGUCUGCUCGUUACCUCUUUGACAUUUGGAGGAUCGUUUUCUGUCGAAACCCGUUCCAUCUGACGUUAAAACCAAUAAAAACAAUAUUACGAUAAAGACUUUUAUCUCCAUUGUCGUCAACUUCCGUCAAGUCUUCGUUUUCUGCUCGCUGGAUAUAAUACGGAUUCCCAAAAACUUUCUUCGUAUGAAAUUUUACUAAUGUACAUUUAUCAAACAUUGCACAUUUUAAAAUAGGUUAUCAUUAUAAGAUUAAAAAAUAUAGCUAAAAAUAUUUUGAAACGGAAGAAACCAAUUUUGAAGUUUGUUGGCCCGGAAAUGUCAUGGUAAGAAGGUAUACUUCGAUAUUAUUUUUACUCUCGAUAGGCGUCGCUGUCGUUGCUGUUGUCACAUACGAGACACAACAAAUCACGAAAUUGACAAAUCACCGGUGAUCUCCUCGAGUCGCAGUUCGAACGUUUCACAAAUAAGUUAAAGUAUUGAACUUUAGAUAUAGUGGUAAAAUUUAUUGCAUGAAUCCAACAGAGUGACGGUUCAGAGUGUCAUAACAAAGAGGCCACUGCAAUGAGAAAGGAAUUCCUGAAGCCAAAAAAAAUGAUACAUCCAAAUAGCAGAAAGUCUAUCGCUAUUACGAAAAAAGCCAAAAAAAUAUCAAAUAGACAGAAGGCAGAAAUGUCCCGCUUGAUAAAACAGAAUUCAAUAGGAGAGAAAAUAUCAUGGAUCAGAAACAAUAUGAUUCCAGGCGUGUGUCCCUAUACUCCAGAGUUAACUGCAAGUUUGUUAGAAACGGAGGUAUGUAGCAAGAAAUGAUGAAGCAAUGGAAGAAAUUACUAUUAAAAGAUCUAUAGGUAGCAACAGGAGUAGACAGCAUGCUAGGAGGGAACAUAUAAUUAGAGUAGAAAGAACUAGGAGAAUAUCAUACACGUGGAAUAGAAAUUUCUGAUAUUUUAAAUGCAACUCAGUGUGAAAUGUUAUUGAAUUGGAAUAAUGAAUUACAGUGUGUGAAUAAUUCUAAAUUUAUAAGGUUUGGCGAGAAAGAUUUAAAGAAAGUAUUAGAGCUAAGACAAAGAAUGAAAAUAAGCCAUAUUAGACUAUUCAAAUCUCUGUUAGCUAUGCCUGUAAACAAGAAGAAUUUAUUAAAUUACUAUUAUAUGAUACCGAGGGGAACUUUGAUGUAUUAGAAGGAUGCUGUGAAAUUCGAAAGGACGGGAUGAAAGUCAAGAGGACACCAUGGUGAUUAACGAUAAAUUUGAUAACUUUUCGUCGAAAUGUGAUAAUAUUUGUUCACUUUUAGAUUAACUCCAUUUCUUAUAAAUAUUUCGUGAUAUUAUCGUAAUUAAUAUCUAAUAUAACAAAUUCUAAAUUCACGGUUUAUUAGAACACCAAGAUGAAAAAUGCAAGAUUAAAGAAAUUAUUUUUUUCUUUCGAAUAUAUUAAAUUAUAUUUCCGAAGAAAUUGAAUAGAUUGUUUAACAUAAAUUUAACAUAGAUUCUCUCGAUUCUGUUUCAUUUGAGUAAGAAAUUCAAAUAACUUUCUCAUUUUGCUUCAUUAUUCGUAAAUUGUCUGUAAUAUAAUAUGGACUAUUAAUUUCGUUUUUCUCAAUAACUUUUAUUACAUUUGAGAAAUUACGUUAUCACAGACUAGUUAAAACAGUUUCUGCAUAUCGCGUUAUUUUCGUAUUGCGCAGCUUUGUUUAACGGGCAGAAAAAGUGCGCCAUGUUGCAUUAGAACGAAGUCAAGUAAUGCAUAAAAUAUUUGAAAUUAUAAUGGCGGACAUUCUAUUUGGCGGAUAACUUUUACAAAUCAAUCGUAUUAUGCAAUAUUCAUACAUAUAUUUGACAAUAAUAAAAAAUACUUUGAAAAUAUUUUAAAUAUACUAACGAUAUAUUUUCUUUCGCAUUUUUGGUAUAAUAUUUAUGUGUAUAUUUUCGUGCUCUUGAUAUGAUAUAUGAUUCUACCUAUGGUAAAUAAAUAAUAAUUAAUUCGUA